UAGAGGGACACCCUGACCUCAGGUUGUUGUCUAUGACCCAGGAGCAUGGCAGAGUGGAGCCUCUCUCAGGACAACUGGACUACAGCAGAUACCCCCUGGGAACACUGCUGACUAUUAUACCUUACCAUGCUUGUGCGACAGCCAUGAUGCAUUCUGUGUACUACGUCCACUCUGGAGGUCGGCUGGUGGGAAAGUGGACACCCACACGUGGCUGGUGAUCAAAGGAGCAUCAUGGGAAAUGUAGUUCUGAGAGUGAGUGUUGGAGGGAAUCAGCCUGAGCAAAGAGCUGGACAGAAUCACUAAUCACCUUGAAGCUCAAAUGACUUAUUGGGAAAUGUCCUUCCUAUCUUUUCCUUUCCUCAUCGUUUCUAUUGUCCGUCCUGCAUUGGGGCGGUACUAUACAGCUGUCACUGACACUAAACCAUGUUUUACACUAAUAAAUGAACCACUUUCCUUAAA